GACGAACGCUGGCGGCGUGCUUAACACAUGCAAGUCGAACGGUAAGGCCCUUCGGGGUACACGAGUGGCGAACGGGUGAGUAACACGUGGGUGAUCUGCCCUGCACUUCGGGAUAAGCCUGGGAAACUGGGUCUAAUACCGGAUAGGACCCUGGGAUGCAUGUCCUGGGGUGGAAAGCUUUUGCGGGGUGGGAUGGGCCCGGGGCCUAUCCGCUUGUUGGUGGGGGGCUGGCCUACCAAGGCGACGACGGGGGGCCGGCCUGAGAGGGUGACCGGCCAGACUGGGACUGAGAUACGGCCCAGACUCCUACGGGAGGCAGCAGUGGGGAAUAUUGCACAAUGGGCGCAAGCCUGAUGCAGCGACGCCGCGUGAGGGAUGACGGCCUUCGGGUUGUAAACCUCUUUCAGCACCGACGAAGCGCAAGUGACGGUAGGUGCAGAAGAAGGACCGGCCAACUACGUGCCAGCAGCCGCAGUAA
rnacentral:rRNA from 1 species